CCUACGGGGGGCUGCAGUGGGGAAUAUUGGACGAUGGGGGCAACCCUGAUCCAGCCAUGCCGCGUGUGUGAAGAAGGCCCUCGGGUUGUAAAGCACUUUCAGUGAGGAAGAACGCCUGGUGGUUAAUACCCAUCAGGAAAGACAUCACUCACAGAAGAAGCACCGGCUAACUCCGUGCCAGCAGCCGCGGUAAUACGGAGGGUGCGAGCGUUAAUCGGAAUUACUGGGCGUAAAGCGCGCGUAGGUGGCUUGAUAGGCCGGUUGUGAAAGCCCCGGGCUCAACCUGGGAACGGCAUCCGGAACUGUCAAGCUAGAGUGCAGGAGAGGAAGGUAGAAUUCCCGGUGUAGCGGUGAAAUGCGUAGAGAUCGGGAGGAAUACCAGUGGCGAAGGCGGCCUUCUGGACUGACACUGACACUGAGGUGCGAAAGCGUGGGUAGCAAACAGGAUUAGAUACCCUAGUAGUC
rnacentral:rRNA from 1 species